rnacentral:rRNA from 3 species
GAAUUUUAUAUAAAAAAAAUUAAGUAAUAUAUAAUAGUAUUUAUAUUUAAUUGGGAGGAUUGUUAAAUUUUAAAAACUUUAAUUAAAAAUAAAAUAUAAAUUGAUGAAUUAAAGAGUUGAAUUAUAAAAUAAGAAAGAAUUAAUUACCUUAGGGAUAACAGCGUAAUAUUUUUGGAGAGAUCAUAUUAAUAAAAAUGUUUGC